GGAAGCAGGCAGAUCCCCUUCGGGGGUGAUGCCUGUGGAAUGAGCGGCGGACGGGUGAGUAACACGUGGGCAACCUGCCUGUAAGAUCGGAAUAACUCCGGGAAACCGGGGCUAAUGCCGGGUAAUCCUUUUUCUCGCAUGGGAGAGAGGUAAAAGAUGGCCUUUGGCUAUCACUUACAGAUGGGCCCGCGACGCAUUAGCUAGUUGGUGAGGUAAUAGCUCACCAAGGCGACGAUGCGUAGCCGACCUGAGAGGGUGAUCGGCCACACUGGGACUGAGACACGGCCCAGAYUCCUACGGGAGGCAGCAGUAGGGAAUCUUCCGCAAUGGACGAAAGUCUGACGGAGCAACGCCGCGUGAACGAUGAAGGUCUUCGGAUCGUAAAGUUCUGUUGUUAGGGAAGAACAAGUACCGUGCGAAUAGAGCGGUACCUUGACGGUACCUAACGAGGAAGCCCCGGCUAACUACGUGCCAGCAGCCGCGGUAAUACGUAGGGGGCAAGCGUUGUCCGGAAUUAUUGGGCGUAAAGCGCGCGCAGGCGGUUUCUUAAGUCUGAUGUGAAAGCCCACGGCUCAACCGUGGAGGGUCAUUGGAAACUGGGGAACUUGAGGACAGAAGAGGAGAGUGGAAUUCCACGUGUAGCGGUGAAAUGCGUAGAUAUGUGGAGGAACACCAGUGGCGAAGGCGACUCUCUGGUCUGUUUCUGACGCUGAGGUGCGAAAGCGUGGGUAGCAAACAGGAUUAGAUACCCUGGUAGUCCACGCCGUAAACGAUGAGUGCUAGGUGUUAGGGGGCUUCCACCCCUUAGUGCUGAAGUUAACGCAUUAAGCACUCCGCCUGGGGAGUACGGCCGCAAGGCUGAAACUCAAAGGAAUUGACGGGGGCCCGCACAAGCGGUGGAGCAUGUGGUUUAAUUCGAAGCAACGCGAAGAACCUUACCAGGUCUUGACAUCCUUGGACCGCCCUAGAGAUAGGGUCUUCCCUUCGGGGACCAAGUGACAGGUGGUGCAUGGUUGUCGUCAGCUCGUGUCGUGAGAUGUUGGGUUAAGUCCCGCAACGAGCGCAACCCCUAAUCUUAGUUGCCAGCAUUCAGUUGGGCACUCUAAGGUGACUGCCGGUGACAAACCGGAGGAAGGCGGGGAUGACGUCAAAUCAUCAUGCCCCUUAUGACCUGGGCUACACACGUGCUACAA
rnacentral:rRNA from 1 species